CUCGUAGGCGGUUCGUCGCGUCCGGUGUGAAAGUCCAUCGCUUAACGGUGGAUCCGCGCCGGGUACGGGCGGGCUUGAGUGCGGCAGGGGAGACUGGAAUUCCCGGUGUAACGGUGGAAUGUGUAGAUAUCGGGAAGAACACCAAUGGCGAAGGCAGGUCUCUGGGCCGUUACUGACGCUGAGGAGCGAAAGCGUGGGGAGCGAACA
rnacentral:rRNA from 1 species